CAGCAACGAAGCUGUGCGCGAUCGCCCGCGUUUUUAAAAGCGACCGAGUGCCGAAAACAAAGUUUCCUGGACGAAACAGGGCUUGACAGUAUUCCACGAGAAAACAGCAUUCAUACCUGCAUGUUAGUCCAUCUGCCUAUGCCCUGCGGCAGCGUCUCCCUGCGGCCAACGUGUGCCAACCUUACCCACCUGCUCCUGGACACCCCGUCGCUACGGAGAUGGCCCCUUAACCUUACCUUGGCAUUUGGGUCUGAAGAGCCUGAGGCGGGUGGGCAGAGCCCCACCCCCUGCGUGAUCCAUGCACAGGUCCAAGCAGUUCAUCACGCACGCCUGGACCGGGAUCAGAACCAGGACUGGAGUUCAAAGGCUACAGCCCAAUGCCAUGUAGUUGAACAGAUUCAAUACGCAGUAGGUCCAACUGGAGUGCUCUCGUGGGAGGGGGGCUAGGCUCAGCACGGACCGGAGCCGUCGGGGAUUUCAUCUCGGGACCUUUUUUUUCUCAGGCAGGCUGCAGAGAAACUGGGAUGGAUGAAGUGGGCUGGGUUCAGAUGAACCCAUAGAAAGCAGGAUUACAGAGCAGUCAUUAUUCCUGAACAGCAAUUAUUCCUGAUACGAACGCAUAUGGAUGCUGUGUGAAAUUUACAAAACCGACUAUCGUCUCAAAAGGAAACCCGUAAAAUGGCAUCUGAUGUAAAAAUAAAUAAAUACAUUUUAAAAAAUGUUAAAAAUUAAAAACUUGUAAAAACGUUUCUGUGGUUUCGUGCUUCAAAAGAACCCAGGCCACUUUUGUCUAAUGUACUUUUAAUGGUGCUUCUCUCUGCUGUGCGAUCCCAGCUCAAUUAGCCUGCUAUUCCUUGUUUGCUCAGCCACACAUAACCGCACCGCUGUUGUCAUUUGUACC